rnacentral:rRNA from 1 species
UACAGAGGGGGCAAGCGUUGUUCGGAAUUACUGGGCGUAAAGGGCGCGUAGGCGGCCUUCUAAGUCGGACGUGAAAUCCCCGGGCUCAACCCGGGAACUGCGUCCGAUACUGGAAGGCUUGAAUUCGGGAGAGGGAUGCGGAAUUCCAGGUGUAGCGGUGAAAUGCGUAGAUAUCCGGAGGAACACCAGUGGCGAAAGCGGCCACCUGGACUGCACCUGACGCUGACACGCGAAAGCUAGGGGAGCGAACGGG